rnacentral:rRNA from 1 species
UCUGGUUGAUCCUGCCAGUAGUCAUAUGCUUGUCUCAAAGAUUAAGCCAUGCAAGUCUAAGUUCAAGCCGGUCAAGACGGCGAGACUGCGAACGGCUCAUUAAAUCGGUUAUGAUUCCACUCGAGCCAGACGCUCCGCGCGACGUGGAUAACUGCGGUAACUCCGGUGCUAAUACAUGCAACAGGCUCCGACCGGCGCGCGUUCGCGCGCGCUCGGGAAGGGCGCACUUAUUAGGCGAAAACCGGCGCGUCGCUGAGGCAACUCUGCGGCGCCAGGUGGACGACACCCGAGUAAUUACCGCCGAUCGCACGGCCUCCGAGCCGGCGACGCAUCGUUCGAGUUUCUGAUCUAUCAGCUGUUGACGGUUCGUGCCCUGCGAACCGUGGCGUUAACGGAUAACAGAGAAUCGGGGUUUGAUUCUGGAGAGGCCGCCUGAGAAACGGCGACCACUUCUAAGGAAGGCAGCAGGCACGCAAAUUACCCACUUCUGACGCGGAGAGGUAGUGACGAGACAUAACGAUACGGCGCUCGAGAGAGAUGUCGCAAUCGGAAUGAGUACAAUCUAAAGCCUUUAACGAGGAUCCACUGGAGGGCAAGCCUGGUGCCAGCAGCCGCGGUAAUUCCAGCUCCAGCAGCGUAUAUUUAUGUUGCUGCGUUUAAAAAGCUCGUCGUUGAAGGCAGGACGCGGGAGGGCGGUCAGCUGAACAGGCUGUCUACUGCCCAGACCGAGCCGUGCGGCGGGCGGCGGCGACGCGUUGCGCUUGAUCGCGUGACCGUCGCUCCCCCGCGAGUUCACCUUGAACAAAUCUGACCGCUCAAAGGAAGCGAGUCGCAACUGAAAGUUGCAGCAUGGUAUGAUGGAACACGGGUUCGCGGUCGACGUUUGCCGGCGUUUACGACCGGGCGAACCAAUGGUUAACAGGGACUGCCGGGGGCAUUCGUACUCUGGGGCGAGGGGUGAAAUCCAAAGACCCUCAGAAGACGACCUACUGCGAAAGCAUUUGCCAAGAAUGUUUUCAUUAAUCAAGAACGAAAGUCAAAGGCGCGAAGGCGAUCAGAUACCGCUGUAGUUUUGACCGUAAACGAUGCCAACUGGGCAUCCGGCGCUCUUCACACGCGAAGAGGCCACGCGCGCCAUCCCCGGGAAACCAAAGUCAUUGGGUUCCGGGGGGAGUAUGGUUGCAAAACUGAAACUUAAAGGAAUUGACGGAAGGGCACCACCAGGAGUGGAGCCUGCGGCUUAAUUUGACUCAACACGGGGAACCUCACCCGGUCCGGACACUGUUAUGACUGACAGGCUAACGGCCCUUUCUCGAUUCAGUGGUUGGUGGUGCAUGGCCGUUCUUAGUUCGUGGAGCGAUCUGUCUGGUUAAUUCCGAUAACGAACGAGAUUCCAGCCUGCUAAAUAGGCGGCGGCGAGCCCUCGCGCUCGCGCGCCAAUUCAUUGCGCUUCUUAGAGGGACAAGCGGCUUCCGAGCCGCGUGAAGCUUGGAGCAAUAACAGGUCAGUGAUGCCCUUAGAUGUCCGGGGCCGCACGCGCGCUACACUGUUUGCAUCAACGGGUCCGUCCGGCGCCGACAGGCGCGGGCAACCCGAUGAAACGCAAACGUGAUAGGGAUCGGAGCUUGCAAUUAUUCUCCGUGAACGAGGAAUUCCUUGUAGUCGCCGGUCAUCAGCCGGCGGCGAAUCUGUCCCUGCCCUUUGUACACACCGCCCGUCGCUACUACCGAUCGAACGGUUUAGUGAGGUGCGCGGACUGCCCGGCGGCGGGCGGGCGACUGCCCGCCGCAGGGAUGGAAAGCGCAACGAACUUGACCGUUUAUAGGAAGUAAAAGUCGUAACAAGGUUUCCGUAGGUGAACCUGCGGAAG